AUUGAACGCUGGCGGAAUGCUUUACACAUGCAAGUCGAACGGCAGCACGGGGGCAGCCCUGGUGGCGAGUGGCGAACGGGUGAGUAAUACAUCGGAACGUGCCCGGUCGUGGGGGAUAACGUAGCGAAAGUUACGCUAAUACCGCAUACGAUCUGAGGAUGAAAGCGGGGGACCUUCGGGCCUCGCGCGAUCGGAGCGGCCGAUGUCAGAUUAGCUAGUUGGUGGGGUAAAGGCCUACCAAGCCGACGAUCUGUAGCUGGUCUGAGAGGACGACCGGCCACACUGGGACUGAGACACGGCCCAGACUCCUACGGGAGGCAGCAGUGGGGAAUUUUGGACAAUGGGCGCAAGCCUGAUCCAGCCAUGCCGCGUGAAGGACGAAGGCCUUCGGGUUGUAAACUGCUUUUGUAAGGAACGAAAAGGCUCUGGCUAAUACCUGGGGCUCAUGACGGUACCGUAAGAAUAAGCACCGGCUAACUACGUG
rnacentral:rRNA from 1 species